rnacentral:rRNA from 1 species
UACGAAGGGGGCUAGCGUUGCUCGGAAUCACUGGGCGUAAAGCGCACGUAGGCGGCUUUCUAAGUCAGGGGUGAAAUCCUGGAGCUCAACUCCAGAACUGCCUUUGAUACUGGAGAGCUCGAGUCCGGAAGGGGUGAGUGGAACUGCGAGUGUAGAGGUGAAAUUCGUAGAUAUUCGCAAGAACACCAGUGGCGAAGGCGGCUCACUGGUCCGGUACUGACGCUGAGGUGCGAAAGCGUGGGGAGCAAACAGG